AACAUUUCCCCCUUCACUGCCCCACCCUUGGCUCUCCACUUACGAGGCUGGCGGGAGCGCUCAUUAGCCUGUAAACUACUUCUGGUCUUCCUUGGAGAGUGACAUCUGAUGGAGACUCAGGCUGGCGAAGGUAGAAAUAGCGUGAAGCUCAGUCUUGGAGAACGAGUGGUCCUGGGAUCGAUAUUUGCGCCUGAAUCCACGAGUCCAAUGAGGUUGUUCCAGGCCUGGAAGGGACGCACAAGACUUCUGUUCACAUCUCAGUGGCAAAAAUUCAUCUUUGGCUACAUCUGGGCAUAGGAGGCGCUGGAAAAAGGAAUGCAUGUUUGAGCAGCUGUCUUUUAACAACAACUUCACACUGUGGAAGAGGAAACAUGAUUUUUGGUGGGCCAAUAGCCAUCUCUUUUGUAAAAGUAUCAUCAUCAUCAUCCCCAUUUUUGGAUGGGGAAACUGAGGCUCCAGUGCUGAAGUAACUCACCCAAGGUCUGUAGCUGGUAAGUAGUGGAGGCAGGAUUUGAACCCAGGUAGUCCAGCUGCAAAUCCCACGUGCUUGCCACUGCAUCCAGCUAGCUCACAGCGACGAGUAAGGCGCUAUACCUUCCACUGUCAAGAAAAAGACGAUGUCAGACACGUCCUUGACAUUUCAUUUUCAAGAAUAUAGCACUUGAAACAAGCUAAAUAAGCACUUGAAAGCAGUGCUUUCACAGUCCUUCAAAGUCAGAGCUCAAUUGCCACCUUUUCAGCGGGGCCUUCUCUGCUCCCCUUGUCUUCUAGCCACCCCGCACUCCAGGUGCUCCAUUUCAUGUAACCUUGUGUAUUUUCUUCAUAGAGCCAUCGCCGUCUGAAAUCAGGCGCAUGUUUGUUUCCUUGUGGAUCUGCUAUCUCCCUGACUAGAACAUAAACUCUCUGAAAGCAGGGAGCUGGUCAGUCUUGCUCACUUUGUAUCCUAGUGCACACUGCAGAGCCGGGUACAUAGUAAAUCCUCAAUAAAUUUUUGUGAAAUGAAUGAGUAGGCAUAUUUACAAAGUGCUGUGGGAGCAGAUACAUUCAUUUAUUCAUUCUCAUAUUCAUUCACUCACAUAUUAGUUACCCAUUUGUUCAUUCAUUCAUUCAUAGACUUUCUCAAAUGCCUGAUCUGAGGAUAGAGGGAUGAUAGUCUAUGGUCUAAGGGUAGCUUGUGAAACCCUGGAAGGCUUCCUGUAGGUGGUGAUGUUAGAGUUGGAGGGAGUAUUGAAUUGUGAGUUGGGGAAGAGGUUGUCACGUUACGUCUUUUGACACUUUUACAUCUUCACUUGACCUGUACCAAGCGCAUUGCUGCCACUGGCUUUGUAAAUGACCAUCAGUCAGUAAGGAGACCAGCCUGGCUGCCACUUUAUGACUGCAAACCUCCUGAACUGCAUAAACAGGAGAAUAAAGAGCAGAGAAUGGACUCACAGCGGGACAAGGUG